GGGUGGAACAAUUUGGCUCUGAUAAUGAACGAGUGACCUCUUCAGCCUUAAAUUUUUACUCACGUAACUUUGCCCAGUUGUCUAAAUGAACAUGGAAAAGCUGCAGAAUGAUAAACCUGGCUACACUCCUGGAAACGAUAAAUGACAAAUCCUAAUACUGCAAAGCCAUCUCUACUUCUGGGAAAUUAUCGAGUGGUAUUUGUAAAGUCUGAUGGGGCAGUGGAGCCUGUGCAGAGGGCUCGGAGCCUUGGCUCACAUGUGGUCCAUGGUCCCACAUCCUGCCUCCUGCUGCCUCCCUGGGGCAGGGGAUGUUGACCAUCUGCUCCCACCUCUGAUGUCCUGGCCACUCUAGCCUUCCCUCCACAAUGUCGCCUGGGGAAGCAAUGGGGUUUUGUUCCAUCAUCACCCUCCAUCCCUGCCUGGGACGUGAGCACAGGCAAGAAUGUCUUGGAAAGUGCUACCGCAAUCCACCCUAGAGCCGGAUAACUUAACAGAACGACAACAACCCAGACCAGUAACCACAAGAUUAGAAGAGAAAAAAAUUCACUAACUUCAGAGGAACAAAUUACAAGUGAAACGUCACUAUAUUCCUUCUUUGGAGACUCUCCUGUUUCAAAUGUACACUCUGUCCUGAUCAGAACAAAACCCCGAAGACCCAAAGGUACUGCAUGCCUAGGUUCAUUUUUGACUUUUGCUUUCCUUCAGCAUCUCCCUGGGCAUUCCUUUGGUCUUCCUGCAGGCCACCCCCCACCCCCAUCCACUCCUGGGAGGCUGAACAAGAAGAAAACGAGCGGAAAUCAUUUUACCUGAGCACUGACUCUUGGGUGGCGGCAGGGACAGUCUCACAAGCGGUGCCUGUUGCUUUCAUUUCGCUGCGUCUGGGGCUGGUCAUCCCGUUAAUAAUGCUCUUAUGACCGCCCACUGGAAAAAAAGCCACUUGCCCAGCUCUUCCCCCAAGAGACGUUUCAAGUAAGCAAUGAACUUGGGCAGAUUAGCCCCUUGGAAUGUGCCGCUUUGGGAUUAGCCUCACUAAGAAUCCCAUGGACAUUCCCUUGCAGCCCUCAAAUACUGCUUGAUUUGAACAUCUAAUCUGACGCCAGAAGAAAAACAAAUCCCCGGAGAGAUCGGAUUUAACUGGCACAAGUCCUGACAGGCUCUCCCCCCUUGGCUUUUUCCAUUUUCAGAGAGAAGCUUUCUGCAAGUGUGAUAAGGUGUUCUGAGUUCUGAAAAGUUCAACUUGGGAAAGCAAAUCCUUCUAAAGAAACAGUGUAUUAAUGCUCUGAGUGGUUCCAACACACAAGGGGCAUUGUUCAUUCCUCCCCAAAGAAUGGAAUGAUAGCAUUUCUUUAAAGAGGAACUGCUAAAAACUCUGAAUGUUUCAAAGGACUGGUCUGGUCCCUGAAAGGGAGCACAAGUAGAAUAAAGUUGGACUUUGUCAGCGUCUUUCCACAACUUCUAAAAUGUCAAUAAAAUGAUAAGACUUGUCUGAUCACACCUCUCAUCCUUGGCCCCUCCCUGACAAUUGCAAAUGUGUGACUGGAAACCUACACUCUCCUGUUUCCCUAUGAAAAAGAGAUGAGCCGGGACCAUUCCAGAUCAUGGACGCAGACGUUAGGCAGGAUGGUGUCUGCCUCGGGUGGCCUGACUGGGAGCUUCUGGCUCACACAAAAAGGUCCCUUUCAAACAUCAUCCAAGAGUGAAUUUUUUACAUAACAGUAGUUCUUAACUAGAUAAGUGAACAAAUUGGGAGAGUAAAGAGCUCUGAUUUCAACAAGGCAAAAAUACUUUUUAAAAAAGUAAAUAUAUAAGCAUUUCAUCUCCAAAGGAUUUAUCUCCUCCCUUCCAGAGAGAAGCCAGAGCAGAGGGGUGCCUGGUUUUGAGUCCCGAGUCAGGCUCUGCACUGACCACGCAGAGUCUGCUUGGGAUCCUCUCCCUCUCUCUGCCCCUCCCGGGCUCUGGUGUGCUCUCUUUUGCACGUGCACACGCUCUCUCUCUCAAAAAUAAAUAAACAUUAAAAAAAAAAAAAGAGGUCAGAGCAGAGAGUUGGUAUUUAUGGUCAACAAUAGGGACUGUAAAUCUGUGAGGGCAAUGCCACUCUGAUCUUUUAUUUCCCUGAAAAUACCUAGUAUGUGUUAAGAGAACAUUGACUGGCAGUCACAGCGUGAACUGGAUGACUUAUUCCAAACUUGGAUGGAAUACUUAGCCUUCUCCUGGCCUCUCUGCUGUUUCCAGGAUUGAUCUCCUUCAUACUCCGGUCUCUCACAUACCAAGUUCACCCCAGACACAAGAGUCAAUAAACCACCUAAUGACAUUCAACUGAGGAUGCAGUAAAAUCAGCAAGACGUUCAAGUGAAACAUCAGACUGAGCUUCAGCAUUAAAUGUGUGAUGGAGAAGUCCCUUCACUUGUCUUCAGGAGCUGGCUACAGAAUAGUGACAGCCUUGAUAAUGUGCACCCCCUCCUUUCACGCAGCAGUAACACUCCCACGCAUUUUAUUCUCAGGGAAUCACCAGAGAUGUGAGCCACAGAGAUGUUCACUGCGUCUUUAUUUAUAACACAGAAAAACUGGAAAAAGUUCAGCGAGGGGAAGCUAAUUGAACUAUGGCUCGUGCUGUUGGAUGAUGAUCAUAAUCAAGUUUCAGAAAACUAAUUACAUAGAGAAAUACAUAUUUUCACAUUCUUGUGUGAGGCAAGCAGGCAUAAAAGAGGAGGUGAAGAAUAAUUAUAAAUUUUAAAUACAGACAGACAUGAUAGGUAGGAAAUACACUUAAAGGGGAAACUUUUUAUUUUUUUAAUGUUUAUUUAUUUUUGAGAGAGAGGGAGAGACAGAGUGUCAACAGGGGAGGAGCAGAGA